rnacentral:rRNA from 1 species
AUGAACGCUGGCGGCGUGCUUAAUACAUGCAAGUCGAACGAGGAACUUUUAUCUUCGGAUUAGAGUUUCCUAGUGGCGAACGGGUGAGUAACGCGUUGGUGACCUGCCCUGAAGUGGGGGAUAACAGGUCGAAAGGACGGCUAAUACCCCAUGAUAUCAGCUGGGUUAGAGACCGGCUGAUCAAAGGAGGAAGCCGCUUUAGGAGGGGCCUGCGUCCCAUCAGCUUGUUGGUAGGGUAAUGGCCUACCAAGGCUUUGACGGGUAGGGGACCUGAGAGGGUGACCCCCCACACUGGCACUGAAACACGGGCCAGACACCUACGGGUGGCAGCAGUAGGGAAUUUUGGACAAUGGGCGAAAGCCUGCUCCAGCACCGCCGCGUGCACGAUGACGGCCUUCGGGUUGUAAAGUGCUUUUAGGGGAGAUGAGAAAGGACAGUAUCCCCUGAAUAAGCCUCGGCGAACUACGU